AUUGAACGCUGGCGGCAGGCCUAACACAUGCAAGUCGAGCGGAUGAAGGGAGCUUGCUCCUGGAUUCAGCGGCGGACGGGUGAGUAAUGCCUAGGAAUCUGCCUGGUAGUGGGGGAUAACGUCCGGAAACGGGCGCUAAUACCGCAUACGUCCUGAGGUAGAAAGUGGGGGAUCUUCGGACCUCACGCUCUCAGAUGAGCCUAGGCCGGAUUAGCUAGUUGGUGGGGUAAAGGCCUACCAAGGCGACGAUCCGUAACUGGUCUGAGAGGAUGAUCAGUCACACUGGAACUGAGACACGGUCCAGACUCCUACGGGAGGCAGCAGUGGGGAAUAUUGGACAAUGGGCGAAAGCCUGAUCCAGCCAGGCCGCGUGUGUGAAGAAGGUCUUCGGAUUGUAAAGCACUUUAAGUUGGGAGGAAGGGCAGUAAGUUAAUACCUUGCUGUUUUGACGUUACCAACAGAAUAAGCACCGGCUAACUUCGUG
rnacentral:rRNA from 1 species